AACGCAAAUUGCGCUCUCAGGAUAGGCCUGGGAGCACGCCUCUUUGAGCAUCGUUUCUAACUCAACUCGACUGCGUGUUUUCGAAUACGUGAAGUCGGAUAAUGAGUUGUCUCGCUAGCAAUAGCGGGUCACUUUAAAGAAGCGAGUUUCCUGAACUCCUUGUGUAUGUGCUCGAAAGAGUACAGCCUUACGAGGUUGUGUACAUUAGUGACGUGGAUACUGUUUUGGCUUCGGUCAUUACUCUUUACUACGUCUCUUUUGCGCGCGGCUUCGCACGGUCAAGCACUUGGUAAAUUGGAAUCGAUGAGAAAUAUUUUGUCUUCGGACUUAAUUUUUUGAAUUAGAUCUCAAAUGAAGCGAGAGUACCCGCUGAACUUAA
rnacentral:misc_RNA from 1 species